rnacentral:rRNA from 1 species
AAACCCAAAAGAUCGAAUGAGGAGAUUCAUCGUCAGCUUAUUCAGUAUUAAUGCAGGCUAUGAUGUGAUAAUAGAAUCCUUGUGGUCACUAGAUUAUACUUGCUUGUAUUAUUUUUGCUGGGUAUGUCGGCGUGCACUUCUCCUCUAGUAGAACGUCGCAACCCGUUGGAUGUUUAUCUAUGGCUUGAAUGGUAGCCUUUGAUAUUUUUUAUAUUAAAGACCUUCGAUGUCCUGAUAAACUGUUUGACGGUAUACAUAUGGUAUUGAGCCGCAAUUAUUUGCGUUAGACUUACCGCAAGUAUGACUUUAUUCUAGUAGUGCGGAUCUAAUGCCGUCGCUGGACAAAGCCUGCUGUUAGCUGUGUAAUGUCUUUAACUGGCUUAUUUACCGGUUAGCGAUGCUACUGCUUUGGGUACUUACAGGA